GAUGAACGCUGGCGGCGUGCCUAAUACAUGCAAGUCGAGCGAACAGACGAGGAGCUUGCUCCUUUGACGUUAGCGGCGGACGGGUGAGUAACACGUGGGUAACCUACCUAUAAGACUGGGAUAACUUCGGGAAACCGGAGCUAAUACCGGAUAAUAUUUCGAACCGUAUGGUUCGAUAGUGAAAGAUGGCUUUGCUAUCACUUAUAGAUGGACCUGCGCCGUAUUAGCUAGUUGGUAAGGUAACGGCUUACCAAGGCAACGAUACGUAGCCGACCUGAGAGGGUGAUCGGCCACACUGGAACUGAGACACGGUCCAGACUCCUACGGGAGGCAGCAGUAGGGAAUCUUCCGCAAUGGGCGAAAGCCUGACGGAGCAACGCCGCGUGAGUGAUGAAGGUCUUCGGAUCGUAAAACUCUGUUAUUAGGGAAGAACAAACGUGUAAGUAACUGUGCACGUCUUGACGGUACCUAAUCAGAAAGCCACGGCUAACUACGUG
rnacentral:rRNA from 1 species